AAAAAUUUGCAUCCACAAACAAGACUGGGGAGUUUUAUCACAUAUGAAGAUGUUUCAAAAAUGAAAUACACAAACAAGGUGGUGGAAGAAACAAUAAGAUUGGCCAACGUUGCAGCAUUUGUUUUCCGAUUGGCUACUAAGGAAGUUGAGUAUAAAGGUUAUAAAAUACCCAAGGAUUGGAGAGUGAUUGUUUGGGUUCGAUAUAUCCACACAAAUUCAGAGAAUUUUGAUGAUCCCAUGUGCUUCAACCCAGAUAGAUGGAAUGAAUCAGCUAAGCUCUGAACAUACCAAGUUUUUGGUGGUGGAUCGAGAAUAUGUGUAGGAAACUUGCUUGUCAAGAUACAACUUGCAGUAUUUUUACAUCAUUUGUCUAUAGGAUACAAGUAAGGAAACUCAAUUUGAAGCGUUACUAUAUAUUUUUUAUGCUAUUAAA